rnacentral:rRNA from 1 species
GGAAUCUUCCACAAUGGACGCAAGUCUGAUGGAGCAACGCCGCGUGAGUGAAGAAGGUUUUCGGAUCGUAAAGCUCUGUUGUUGGUGAAGAAGGAUAGAGGCAGUAACUGGUCUUUAUUUGACGGUAAUCAACCAGAAAGUCACGGCUAACUACGUGCCAGCAGCCGCGGUAAUACGUAGGUGGCAAGCGUUGUCCGGAUUUAUUGGGC